rnacentral:tRNA from 1 species
UUAAAAAAAUUUUUAAAAAAAUUAAAAAAAAUUAAAAAAAAUUUAAAAAAAAUUUUUUUAAC